rnacentral:rRNA from 1 species
AUGCGCGCCGGGCCGACGGGGUGGAGGCUCAGCAACGGGGGAGUGCCCAUUCCUCCGUUGCCCGACGCCGUGGCGCGCGCACCCUACUUCACCGCCGAGGUAGAGAUCGUGCGCUCCUCCCUCACCGACGAGCAGCUCGCCCUGCCCCAGUACGCCGCCGACAACCACGCGGCGUGGACAGCGUACUUCGAGCGCCGUCAGCAGCAGAGGCUGGCGUCCACCAACGGGGCGCCGGUGGUGGGCAGCACGAAGAACAGCGAGGGGCGCCACCUGUGGUGGGGCGUCCCUGGCCGCACGCUCGAGGGCGUGCUGACGCACCUUGAGGGCAGCAACAACCCACCGCUGGCAUACCCUUCCCUGGCGAGGGCGGCCGCCCCGGCCCACCGCCGACGCGCCGGGCAAUGGAUGCCCAGGAGGUUCGGCUCCUCCUCGUCUUCCUCCUCGCAAUCUUCUUCCCACUCCUCCGGCUCUCCGGCGCUGCUCGGCGUCAAGGCCGAGCCCGCGGCGGAGACGCCGCUCGGCCGGCGCACUCGCAGCGCCGGCAUCGUAAUCAACGAGGGCGGCCGGCGCGCCUCCUCAUCGGCUCCUCCGUGCUUCGUCAAGCCAAAGACGGAGCCGGGGCUCGCGCCGGUGAAAACGGAGCCGGUUCUCCCCGCCGUGAAGACGGAGCACGGCGACGUGGAGCUCGACGACGACGCGGCCCUGGAAUGGGCACGCAAGGACUUCCUGAAGAUGGCGAGGGAGCGCCAGUGCGCUGCCCUGCGGCGGUUCGAGCAGUGCCGCCGGGGCCGCGACGAAGGAGUCGUCGUCGUCAUCGAAGACAGCGACAACGACAACGCGCCGCCGCCACCAGUCCGCCAUGGCGACGCUGGUCAGGGGUCCACCAGGGACGGCCGCGUCAAGGAGGAGAAGGCCGACGAUGACGACGGCGGUGAGGAUGGCGGCGACGACUACUCCCGAUUUUAG